CCUACGGGAGGCUGCAGUGGGGAAUAUUGGACAAUGGGGGGAACCCUGAUCCAGCCAUGCCGCGUGUGUGAAGAAGGCCCUCGGGUUGUAAAGCACUUUCAGUGAGGAAGAACGCCUGGUGGUUAAUACCCAUCAGGAAAGACAUCACUCACAGAAGAAGCACCGGCUAACUCCGUGCCAGCAGCCGCGGUAAUACGGAGGGUGCGAGCGUUAAUCGGAAUUACUGGGCGUAAAGCGCGCGUAGGUGGCUUGAUAAGCCGGUUGUGAAAGCCCCGGGCUCGACCUGGGAACGGCAUCCGGAACUGUCAAGCUAGAGUGCAGGAGAGGAAGGUAGAAUUCCCGGUGUAGCGGUGAAAUGCGUAGAGAUCGGGAGGAAUACCAGUGGCGAAGGCGGCCUUCUGGACUGACACUGACACUGAGGUGCGAAAGCGUGGGUAGCAAACAGGAUUAGAUACCCUGGUAGUC
rnacentral:rRNA from 1 species